GAUUUUUUUCAUAGUCGCCCUCUAACAAUAAAUUAAAGUACCAUUAGAAUCGACGAGGUGGUGUAACCGUCCGGCAUUCACCCGGAUGACUCGGGUUCGAGGCUCCGUCUUACCCUCAUCACUUUAAUGGUAUCCCUAUCUGGGUCCUGAACUCAGAAUGUUUAGUAAGAGAAUAGUCUCUCUGAAAAGACAUGCCGUAGGAGUCCCCUGCGGUGGGCAUACGUAAUAGUAUGGUCUUCUCUCAAGGAGAGAAGAUUCGCUAAAAAUCGAACUUUUUUUGUCCAGUUUUCUAUUACAUUACAACUCUGGCCACUUUUUGUUAACUUAACCCUAACACCUACUGUAGUGGGAAAAAAGGAAACAAUAAAACAUGUGUUAAUGUCCGGUGACAAAAGGUUCAAUGUUUACAUAAUUUUUGAUAUUUUUUGUCUUUUUUGUAUUUUUUUACGUUUUUUUCUUGUGUUUUAUUGAAUUUCAAUGUUCAUAAUUUUUUUAUUGCUUGUUAAACUCUUCUAAAUCGUUAAUAUCAUCGAGAAAAUUCUAGUGCUCUAAUUAUUAUCAACCGUUUUCUGUUUCUAGGCUUUUGGCUUAUUCAUCGUUUGUUUCUUUGUGUGUUUCUUGGCUUGUUAUUUGACUUUUGAUUUAUUACUGGUUUUAUUUUACAAUCAACAGUGAUUUAUAAUUAAUAUCAACUUAUUUUGGUGUAAUAAUCAACCUAUCAAUAGAUUGAAUUAUCAACAGUUCAGUUAAUUGAUUGAAUCGACGGUUAGAGGUUUGUUUUUUCACUCUUGCUAAAAGGAUGAAUCGUUUGGCAUUUCAUGUUAUGAUUGACUUUUUUGACGAGUGAUUAAAUUUACCUUUAAUUCUGUUAACAUUACCUUUUAAUUAGCCUCUCCUGGGUAUUCAAUGAAUACAGUGUUUCAAUCAGUGGUCAAAAUGAAAUGGAUACCUUUUCCCCUGACUGUUAUCAUUCAAUCUUUUCAGUCAAUUAAAAUCUAAAUCAACCUUUCUGGACCGUGUAAACUGCAAACUGUGUCUUCACAGGUUUAUAAAUCAACAUUCUGGUUAACAAGGUUUCACCUUUGUUGGCUUGGAUAAAAACAAUAUUCAAUCAAUAUUACACCUUAUUAUUUAAUUAUUGAUGGUUAUUAUUUUGAAUGGAUAGAUGAAUUUAAUUCAAUUACGAGGUGUAAGCAGGAACAUCUAUUCAAUGGAUGGAAAGGACAAGGGAAAGUGAUACACAUUGGAAUAAAAUAUAAUGGUUAAAAUAAAUCAUUUAAUCAAUUGUUUAUUUUUUCGCUUUAUAUUACCCCAUUCCGGCUAAUAAUAAAUCAAACUAAUUGGGAAAAAAGCAAAUAAAGCUUUUAUUGAAUUGAA